AGGCAUAACAGUACCACAACUUAUACAGUCUCUGCUGGCUCUGGAAAGAAGGGAAAUUCAUCAUCUUCUGAGAACACAACCAUGACAUAUCCCUCCAUGAGUUUCUCUUCAAUAUAUGACCGGGACACUUCAAUAGAUGACCGGGACAGUUAGCUGCUAGAAGACUCAAACAGCAGCUUUGUUUAUCCUUCUAGGUUGCAGUUUUGAGCACUGAAUCUCUGUACAUUAUUUAAGGCUUCUUUUUCUUCCCUUA
rnacentral:lncRNA from 1 species